CGGCGGUAUGCUUAAGACAUGCAAGUCGGACGGCAAGGCACUUCGGUGCCCGGAGUGGCGGACGGGUGAGUAACACGUGGGAACCUACCCAAUAGUGGGGGACAGCCCAGCGAAAGCUGGAUUAAUACCGCAUACGCCCCACGGGGGAAAGCAGCAAUGCGCUAUUGGAUGGGCCCGCGUAAGAUUAGCUAGUUGGUAAGGUAAAGGCUUACCAAGGCGACGAUCUUUAGCUGGUCUGAGAGGAUGGCCAGCCACAUCGGGACUGAGACACGGCCCGGACUCCUACGGGAGGCAGCAGUCGGGAAUAUUGGACAAUGGGCGCAAGCCUGAUCCAGCAAUACCGCGUGUGUGAAGAAGGCCUGCGGGUUGUAAAGCACUUUCAGUUGGGAAGAUAAUGACGUUACCAACAGAAGAAGCACCGGCUAACUCCGUGCCAGCAGCCGCGGUAAUACGGAGGGUGCAAGCGUUAAUCGGAAUUACUGGGCGUAAAGCGUGCGUAGGCGGCCUGUUAAGUCAGAUGUGAAAGCCCCGGGCUCAACCUGGGAACUGCAUCUGAUACUGGCAGGCUAGAAUUUAGGAGAGGGGAGUGGAAUUUCCGGUGUAGCGGUGAAAUGCAUAGAGAUCGGAAGGAACAUCAGUGGCGAAGGCGGCUCCCUGGACUAAAAUUGACGCUGAGGCACGAAAGCGUGGGUAGCAAACAGGAUUAGAUACCCUGGUAGUCC
rnacentral:rRNA from 1 species